GCCAACAUUGCAUAAUGGUUUGUGUGCUGGACUGUGACUCUGGAAAGCAAGGUUCGAUUCCCAGCUUGGCC